rnacentral:misc_RNA from 1 species
GGCGCCCGGCGGAAGAGCGCGGGCUGGCGGCCG